rnacentral:snRNA from 1 species
GGAUGUGAGGGCGAUCUGGCUGUGACAUCUGUCACCCCAUUGAUCGCCAGGGCUGACUCAGCUGAUCUGACUGGCUAGGCAGAUGUCCCCUUCCUCCCUCAAUGAUCCAUGUGCAUCCCUCCCGAAGCUGCGUGCUCAGUCGAAGAGGACGACCACCCCCAAUAGAGGAGGACCGUUCCUCGGUCAAGGGUAUAUGAGUAGCUGCACUCCCCUGCUAGACCUCCAAACAAGCUCUCAAUCUAUGAGAAUUCUGCAUUAUUUCUAAAGGACGAAUUGUAGUACUGGGGGACAGUUACCCGUUUCUA